CUCCCGGUUAGCAUCGCUGCUUAGCUACCUUGAGUACAACAAAUAAACACGCUAAAAUACACUUACUGCAACUAGAUCCGUAAAAGAAACUGUUUGUCUUAAAAAGGUAAAACGAGUGUAGGAGUUGCCAUAAAAAGGGACUGUCACUGUUCACUGAAACGCGUUUAUGAGCCGAAGGAGAAGGGCUUCCACCGGCUGCAGUGUCUACCUUCAACCAGCAGGUGUCAGGAGAAAACACUUUAUUCUCCCCAGUACACGUGGUGGAGGAGUGAAGGGUCCUUUUUUCUAACAGUUAUGGGAGAAUCACAGGAUUGCAGUUACCUUUCUUCCAGACUGGUUUAUAAAGGGCCAGCAGAAUGAUAGCGAUGAAAAGAAUGAAUACAAUGACACCGGCAAUGACUGCAGCUAACAGAGAGAGAUUUACAGUGAAACCACUGACUUUCUUUGCAUUUGCUACAGGAAAAGCAGUUUCGAGCGUAGUUCCAGUUCUCCAUGUACUGGUAUGUUGAGCAUUGUUCACACACAGUGUCAGUAGUUUCAGAGCAUUCUUGUUUCAGCCGCUGUCCUGUUAGAAUAUAUACAUGAAUAAAUCCACGUUAGUCACUUUAAAUGCAUUUUAUAACAGCACAACAGCAUUGUAACCUGUAACUCCAAAAUUCCCACUAACAGACAAAAACGUAAAUUGUGCAUCAUAGUACCAUGCGGUUAUCUUGGUUUGACUUUGUUUACUGGUUAAA